GUGACCUCAAAUCAGGUAGGAUUACCCGCUGAACUUAAGCAUAUCAAUAAGCGGAGGAAAAGAAACUAACAAGGAUUCCCCUAGUAACUGCGAGUGAAGCGGGAAAAGCUCAAAUUUAAAAUCUGGCAGUCCUUUGGCUGUCCGAGUUGUAAUCUAGAGAAGUGCUAUCCGCGCUGGACCGUGUACAAGUCUCCUGGAAUGGAGCGUCAUAGAGGGUGAGAAUCCCGUCUUUGACACGGACUGCCAGGGCUUUGUGAUGUGCUCUCAAAGAGUCGAGUUGUUUGGGAAUGCAGCUCAAAAUGGGUGGUAAAUUCCAUCUAAAGCUAAAUAUUGGCGAGAGACCGAUAGCGAACAAGUACCGUGAGGGAAAGAUGAAAAGAACUUUGGAAAGAGAGUUAAACAGUACGUGAAAUUGCUGAAAGGGAAACGCUUGAAGUCAGUCGCGUUGUCCAGGGAUCAACCUUGCUUUUGCUUGGUGCACUUUCUGGUUGACGGGUCAGCAUCAAUUUUGACCGUUGGAAAAAGAUUAGGGGAAUGUGGCAUCUUAGGAUGUGUUAUAGCCCUUGGUUGCAUACAAUGGUUGGGAUUGAGGAACUCAGCACGCCGCAAGGCCGGGUUUUCAACCACGUACGUGCUUAGGAUGCUGGCAUAAUGGCUUUAAUCGACCCGUCUUGAAACACGGACCAAGGAGUCUAACAUGCCUGCGAGUGUUUGGGUGGAAAACCCGAGCGCGUAAUGAAAGUGAAAGUUGAGAUC
rnacentral:rRNA from 1 species